ACCUGGAUGGCUCAGUCGGUUGAGCGUCUGACUUCGGCUCAGGUCAUGAUCUCACAGCUCGUGAGUUCAAGCCCCACGUCGGGCU
rnacentral:tRNA from 1 species